CGAAGGCCCCCGCCGCUGCGCCACCUCCCGGAUCCACCCGUCGCGGAGCGCCCUCCCCUGAACCCCCACGCGCGCCGCCGGAUCCUACGGCCUCCAGCCACCACCAAGCACCGGUGCGCGACCCCGCCGCCUACCUCUGUUACGCCGCCGCGUUCUCCCCGCUGCCACCCUCCCUGGAUUUCGCCACCGGUGCUGCCGCCUCCUCCCCCGCGGCCACCGUACCCGCUCCUUGACGCCGCCAUCCACCCCAACCAACUCCCCCCAGCCAGAUGCGCCGCCGCCAGAUUCCCGCAUCCCGGACGCCGGAGGCCCGGGAUCCGGCUGCCACCAUGCGGCACCGCCACCACCUGCCUCCCACCUCGGCCUCCCAGGCUCACUGCGCCUCUACCGGCAUCGCCCCCUUCAGUACCGCGUGCCGGAGUCGUCUCAUGCACCACUCCCUUCCAUCGGCCACCCAGUCGCCCCGCCCUUGCCAUCAGCGGAGGAGGCUGCCUCGAUUUCUCCAGUGAAACACCCCGAGUACUGCAGCUCUCCUAUGCAGCCAUCACCGGGUUUGCUUGAACUGCAGUGCACGGGAGAAUAGAAACGGUGACGAGGCUCGUGUCAAAUCCUCCCCUGACCUCUUCCCACGCUUGCUCCUGCUACACCGACCUGCUCCCUCUUCAACCCCUGAACUGUCCAUUUUUUGUGAUGCUAGUUCUUUUAUUUUAGGUAUAUGUGAACAAGAUCAGUGAGCUAGUAACAUGAUUGUUUUUUAUUUGGGGCUAAUUACUAAAAAAAUUCAGAAGAAUGGAUGUUGCAAAAAACAAAAUUGGCAGAAUAUGUGAUGAAUUAUUGUUGUUCCCUAUGUAUUUAUUAUUCCAAACUUCCGCGCCUACUUAGCAAAAAUGCAUAUGCCCAAGCUCUAAUCUUUUACCACUUAAAAGUUGAGGGAAAACAGAGGAAGUUCAGAUAUGGAACUGCAUGACGUUCAGAUAUAUAAAAACUAUUAAUUUUGCAUUAUAUUUGGUCUCAUCUUGCAUGCAGGCAACAUUUCUGUUCACGGUCGUUGGCACCACCAGAUUCCUGGCUGUCCUUGUAGGCCAGUUCCCUGGGGAUUGGGGCUUCUGACAUAACAAACAGCCAAGAAGCAUUUUGUUGGUAGUAUUAGCCAUCAACAACAUGUCUCCAUGUGCUAAUGUGAAUCUGCUUCAUGUAUUACUAUUGGGCUGGAUGAUUCAGUAAUUUCUACUUCGUCUAUAUGUCAAAGUCAAAGGAUGUUGCACUGGAGUUCUGCUAUAGCUACAUCAGGUUCAACUACGGUUGUAUGACGGCCGCCCUGAAGUUCUACUAUGGUUGGUAGCCAAGUUCUACUACAGCUAUACGUCGGCCGUCGUGAAGUUCUACUACUGCUAUGUGACAAGUUCUACUACUGCUAUACAUCAGUGUACUAAGCAACAAUCUCUCUCUGCUUUUACAGUAAAACAAGGCCACACUUUUGUUAUGUUUGAAUCAGUAGUUUGGAAAGGCAAUGGCAUUUUUCUCUCUGUCCAUGUGUAGGUGUUGAGGCUAGUGU